rnacentral:rRNA from 1 species
AGUGAACGCUGGCGGUAGGCCCAACACAUGCAAGUCGAACGGCAGCACAGUAAGAGCUUGCUCUUACGGGUGGCGAGUGGCGGACGGGUGAGGAAUACAUCGGAAUCUACUUUUUCGUGGGGGAUAACGUAGGGAAACUUACGCUAAUACCGCAUACGACCUACGGGUGAAAGCAGGGGAUCUUCGGACCUUGCGCGAUUGAAUGAGCCGAUGUCGGAUUAGCUAGUUGGCGGGGUAAAGGCCCACCAAGGCGACGAUCCGUAGCUGGUCUGAGAGGAUGAUCAGCCACACUGGAACUGAGACACGGUCCAGACUCCUACGGGAGGCAGCAGUGGGGAAUAUUGGACAAUGGGCGCAAGCCUGAUCCAGACAUACCGCGUGGGUGAAGAAGGCCUUCGGGUUGUAAAGCCCUUUUGUUGGGAAAGAAAAGCAGCAGGUUAAUACCCCGCUGUUCUGACGGUACCCAAAGAAUAAGCACCGGCUAACUUCGUG